AAACAGUCACUAACCUUCAACAGUGGUUAAGGCGCUAGCUUCAGGUGCUAGUAGAGAAAUCUGCGUGGGUUCGAGUCCCACUCUGUUCA